GCGGCGACUUCCGGGCGGAGCUGGUUGAAGGUGGGUGUUAGUCGAGGAAGGGCCCGGGCGGCCUUGUGCCCCUCGGUCCAGCUCUGGGCGCAGAUUGGCUUGAGGGAACGCCCCACCUCCUGCUUGCACACCUGAGGGCCCCUGGACCCCGGGAUGCGCCCUUAAGCCGAGAUGUCCCCUUCCGUGGGGCGCACCGGUGACCCGCGGUGCCUCGCAGGUGCUGCAGACCGUGGCUUCGGGCGGCUAAGAGGACUCCUGCAGGCAACAGGGACUUGUCAGGCCUGCUGUGGGAAGGCCCGCAGUGACAGCAGCGCGAUAAGCGCUGUCAGGGCGUUAGCCCUGGGUUAUCGGGCCGGGCUCACCUUCCUCUUCAAGGUGGCUCUCACCCCCUCCGCCUUCCCGGCUUCCUCCUCUUCUCCCAGCCGGGUGCACAGGACCCCCUCUCCUGCCCUUCACUCGCCCACCAGCAUGCUUCCGAGUCAGGUCCCUGCCUUCCCAUCACUACAAGUUUACGCACAGCCGGACAGCUUUUUUACAAGGUUCUUGACACACUUUUAUUUUAUCAGGCCUUAUCAAAUUCACUCCUGCUUCACUUCGCCAGGCCGGGCUCUUUAACUUCUUUCUGGUAGUUUAGGAUAAGCCUCAGUUUUUGAGUAGUUCUUGAAGGUACUUGAGUGCACAUGUGGGAUAAAGUACUAACCUACUUCUAUGACCUUCACAAAAAUCUAGGAAAUCAGGGCAGCCGUUUUAUUGAUGUAAAAACAGACUCUGAGGCCUUCUGAAUCCUUCUACUGCCCUUUGGCUACAGUGAGUGUGGUUUACUGUGUAAUCCUUUCCAGGGAUAGUUGCACUUCAGAAGACUGCCGAAUGCUUUAAGUGAAAAAAAAAAAAAAUAUUCUUUUUUUUUUUUGCCUGAAUGCAAGCCUGUGGUGUAGCUUUAUGCAGGAAGGCAUUUUAGCGGAAAAUUCUAAUCAGGGCCAGGACGGUGGCUACUCGAUUUGACUAUCUCUACAUGAUUGACAUCAUGUAACGUGAUUGGUAAACGGUGACCUUGAGGGACAAAUCCAGGUGAAUAGAGAUUGCUCAAGGAACAAUUAUUUGGACAGGUAUAUUGCCGACAGGAAGCAUUGAACACUAAAAAGAUUUUCAACGCGGUUUCCCCUCUUCCUGUGGAAAGUAAUGCCCUGUGAGAACUAGACUCAUUCCGGAGGGAAAAAGUCAUGGGUACGAAUACUGUGCACAGAUGCUGCUUACGCUUCCUUUAAAUAACUGAGACCAGACAGCCCUACAAUUCGGAAAAUGUAUGAAGAGAUAAAGCUGGUUCAGUGUUAAUGUUACAGUCUGUACACAUGCAGUCAGUAAAUGUUGUGAUAUGUGUAAGUAUGUUACUUCCUGUGAAUUACCCCCAUAUUACUGUUAGUCACCCGGUUGUAAAGUUUUGUGCCCGGUUCUGACAUGGGGACACUGAGCACGUGAGCCUCUCUUGUCCCCUGUUUAUAUCCAAACCCAGCCCGACACACUCAGUUAUCCCCUGUGCUGUUCAGCCUCCUCUGUCCCUGCUGGUCACAGAUUUACCCUCCUUUCUGCCUUCCCCUCUCUUAAGCUGUACUCAGCCCACACCCUCUGCCUCUACUUCCUUACGGUGUACAUUUUUUAACCCCUUGCAGUCUGACUUCCUUUUCCACCUCUCUACUGAAACGGUUCCUUGUAAAGAGCGCGUCUAACCCAGCUUGCAUACAGUGGCUCUGGGAUAUAACAGUGAGAAGACUGAUUGCAUUUAGCAGGGACAGGUGUGGGGUGAGCUUUACGUAAAGGGGGAUAUUCGGGAUACCAUGGGGACGUAUACCGAGGAGAUCUCAUUUAGUCGGGGCACAUAGAAGGCUUCUCAGGUAGAGAGAGAUUUGAGAUGAAGUUUGAGGGUGGAGUUAGGUGAGAGCUAGAGAAGGGAAGGAAGACGAGAGCCUUCCAAGUGAGAACAGCGAGUCGGAAGGACUGAAGCCGAGAGCCCACAGGUUCUCAAGGCUGCAGAGGCCUGUGUGCAGCAUGGUAAUGAGGCGCUCUUCUCUUUUUUUAUCCAGAUGCCCCCCUAGAAGUAUGCUGUGUAUUUCCCUCACAUUUGGAAAACAGACUCUGGGGAAUGACUUGGGAACACAAGCGGGACUGGUCCAGUGGCUUCGUUAGAAGGCAGCUCGGCGUGUGUGAGCUUCUGCUCGGAGCGAGUCCCGUUGCCCAGCGGUCCUGGACACUGCCCCCUGCAGAUGGGAGGGAUUUCGCACCCCGGUGUUGUCUCCUCGGAUCAUUGUGUUUACUACUCUGUCUUGUACACGAAGACUCUGUUAAGGCAGAUACGUGGACACUGAGAUAUCGGCAGAGGCCCCCAGGCUGCGUGCACGGGGGCAUGGGCCUGAUGCUCCCCUCUGAAACCUGUUCCAGUGGCCAGGAACACACAACAGAGGCUCUGAAGGGGACCCCCAUGGCUACUGCAAUCACAAGGUACAUGACUGUCGCCUUCUUCCUUCCUGGGACGGGUCCGACGAAGACGCUGGCCUGGUGAAGAUACUGGGGCAGAAGAGAUUUGCUUUGGUUAAACGUGACUCGAGCUGCAAGGAAAAACCCACCAUCUGUAAACUCAGUGCGUCACUGGGCCACCCUGCCCUGAAGCUGGGGAUCAAGAAUCUUACUAAAGUUGGAUGUAGUCACACGUCCUAAAAACUAGCUGCAGAGAUUGAUAACUGAAACGAUACAGAAAGGAAUACAGUAAGGACACCCAGAAUUCCUGAAGCCACCCGAGGACCCCGGACACCCUGAGAACAACCAAGUGGGAAGAGGGGAAGGCCUGCAUCCUAGGUAACAAAUGCUUCUAAGUCACUGGCCUGACCAAACCGGGAAUUGUCCUCCUCUUGUCCUUUUAAUGUCAGGAAAAAAAAAAUCUUGAUUUUUAAGCUA